rnacentral:rRNA from 1 species
AUUGAACGCUGGCGGCAGGCCUAACACAUGCAAGUCGAACGGUAACAGGAAGAAGCUUGCUUCUUUGCUGACGAGUGGCGGACGGGUGAGUAAUGUCUGGGAAACUGCCUGAUGGAGGGGGAUAACUACUGGAAACGGUAGCUAAUACCGCAUAACGUCGCAAGACCAAAGAGGGGGACCUUCGGGCCUCUUGCCAUCGGAUGUGCCCAGAUGGGAUUAGCUAGUAGGUGGGGUAACGGCUCACCUAGGCGACGAUCCCUAGCUGGUCUGAGAGGAUGACCAGCCACACUGGAACUGAGACACGGUCCAGACUCCUACGGGAGGCAGCAGUGGGGAAUAUUGCACAAUGGGCGCAAGCCUGAUGCAGCCAUGCCGCGUGUAUGAAGAAGGCCUUCGGGUUGUAAAGUACUUUCAGCGGGGAGGAAGGGAGUAAAGUUAAUACCUUUGCUCAUUGACGUUACCCGCAGAAGAAGCACCGGCUAACUCCGUGCCAGCAGCCGCGGUAAUACGGAGGGUGCAAGCGUUAAUCGGAAUUACUGGGCGUAAAGCGCACGCAGGCGGUUUGUUAAGUCAGAUGUGAAAUCCCCGGGCUCAACCUGGGAACUGCAUCUGAUACUGGCAAGCUUGAGUCUCGUAGAGGGGGGUAGAAUUCCAGGUGUAGCGGUGAAAUGCGUAGAGAUCUGGAGGAAUACCGGUGGCGAAGGCGGC